rnacentral:rRNA from 1 species
AACAAACGCUGGCGGCGUGCCUAACACAUGCAAGUCGUACGAGAAAGGGUCCUUCGGGAUCUGAGUAAAGUGGCGCACGGGUGAGUAACGCGUGGAUAAUCUGCCCUUCAGUUGGGAACAACUCAUCGAAAGGUGGGCUAAUACCGAAUAACACUGUGAGACUUUGGUCGAGCAGUCAAAGAGAGCCUCUGCUUGCAAGCCCUCGCUGAAGGAUGAGUCCGCGUACCAUUAGCUUGUUGGCAGGGUAAUGGCCUACCAAGGCGACGAUGGUUAGCUGGUCUGAGAGGAUGAUCAGCCACAAUGGAACUGAGAUACGGGCCAGACUCCUACGGGAGGCAGCAGUGAGGAAUCUUGCGCAAUGGGGGAAACCCUGACGCAGCAACGCCGCGUGAGUGAGGAAGGUCUUCGGAUCGUAAAGCUCUGUCAGUUGGGAAGAAAUGCCCGAUGGUUAAUACCCAUCAGGCUUGACGGUACCAACAGAGGAAGCACCGGCUAACUCCGUGCCAGCAGCCGCAGUAACAC